rnacentral:rRNA from 1 species
CGGGGUGCAGCAGGCGCGAAAACUUUGCAAUGCGGGAAACCGUGACAAGGGAACUCUGAGUGCCCGUAAAAUCGGGCUGUCCAUCGGUUUAAAUAACCGGUGAAGAAAGGGCCGGGCAAGACCGGUGCCAGCCGCCGCGGUAAUACCGGCGGCUCGAGUGGUGGCCACUAUUACUGGGCUUAAAGCGUUCGUAGCUGGUCUGUUAAGUCUCUGCGGAAAUCUUCCGGCUUAACCGGAAGGCGUCUCAGGGAUACUGGCAGACUAGGGACCGGGAGAGGUGAGAGGUACUCCAGGGGUAGGAGUGAAAUCCUGUAAUCCUUGGGGGACCACCUGUGGCGAAGGCGUCUCACCAGAACGGCUCCGACAGUGAGGGACGAAAGCUGGGGGAGCAAACCGGAUUAGAUACCCGGGUAGUCCCAGCUGUAAACGAUGCGCGUUAGGUGUAUCGGUGACCACGAGUCACCGAGGUGCCGAAGAGAAAUCGUGAAACGUGCCGCCUGGGAAGUACGGUCGCAAGGCUGAAACUUAAAGGAAUUGGCGGGGGAGCACAAGGGCGAAUU